rnacentral:rRNA from 1 species
AACGAACGCUGGCGGCAUGCCUAACACAUGCAAGUCGAACGAGACCUUCGGGUCUAGUGGCGCACGGGUGCGUAACGCGUGGGAACCUGCCCUUAGGUUCGGAAUAACUCCCCGAAAGGGGUGCUAAUACCGGAUAAUGUCUUCGGACCAAAGAUUUAUCGCCUUUGGAUGGGCCCGCGUUGGAUUAGCUAGUUGGUAGGGUAAAAGCCUACCAAGGCGACGAUCCAUAGCUGGUCUGAGAGGAUGAUCAGCCACACUGGGACUGAGACACGGCCCAGACCCCCUCGGGAGGGAGGAGUGGGGGAUAUUGGAACAUGGGCCAAAGGCCGAACCCAGCAUGGCCGGGUGAGGGAGAAGGCCUUAGGGUUGUAAAGCUCUUUUACCCGGGAUGAUAAUGACAGUACCGGGAGAAUAAGCUCCGGCUAACUCCGUG